AAAAAAGACUCUGUCUCAAAAAACAAAACAAAACAAAAACCAAAAAUGGCUAAGAAAGAAGCCAUGAAAAGAUGCUCAACAGCAUCAAAACCACAAAUAGUUCUUAUUCCCCAGGAUGGCUAUUAUCAAAAUUUGUAAAAUGACAAGUGUUGGCAAGGAUGUCGCUGUGGACUGAAUUGUACCCCUCCCUGCAAAUUCAUAUGUUGAAGCCCUAACUCCUAGUAUGACUGUAUUUGGAGAUAACGUCUUUUGGAGAUAAUUAAGCUUAACUGAGGUAAAAGUUGGGGAGCUAAUCCAAUAGGACUGGUGUCUUAGAAGAAGAGAAAGAAGAGUCCGGGCUUCCCAUCCCUGGGCGUGCAGUGCUGUGCUGUGCUCUGCAUGUCCCCACAGCGGGCCUGGUGGGGGACUGAGCCCAGUUGCCUGCAGAGGUGACCUGCUCGGUGGCUUUCCUCACUCCCCUGUCUCUCAUUCCCUCUCCCGCGCUGUGCUUCCUGGAAUCAACUCCAAAAUAAGCUACCAAGUUCUCGUCUCAGGCUCUUCUUUAGGGGAAUCUAAAUUUAGACAGUGGCACUAGAAGAAAAGAGGAGCAGCAACAAAAAUCUGCUGUGGGUGCUGAGAAGCAGCGAACACUUCUGCAGGGACAACCAGAUGAGCCCUGGGCUAUCACCCAGAGCUCUCUCUCUCUCCAAAGGCCAUGUCAGGAUGCAGCAGGAAGGCAGCCGUCUACAAGCCAGGAAGAGAGCCCUCAUCAGAAACUGAAUUUACUGGCACCUUGAUCUUGGACUUCCGGCCUCCAGAACAGAAUAGAAAAUAAAUUUCUGUUGUUGAAGCUGCCCAAUCUAUGGUAUUUUGUUAGAACAGCCUUAGUAGACUAAUACAAAUUUGGAAAAAUUGAAGUGCAUUGCUGGUGGGAAUGUAAAAUAGUAUGUGGAAAAAUCUGGCAAUUACUAAAAAAGCUAAACAUAGAAUUUACUGUAUGACCCAACAAUUCUACUUCUCGAUAUAUACCCAAAAGAACUGAAAGCAGGGUCUCCUAGAGACAUAUGUAUACAUUGUGUUUAUUGCGACAUUGUUUGUGACAGCCAAAAGGUUAAAAAAAACAAAAAACAAAAAACAAAAAACAAGCAGCCAGGCGCAGUGGCUCACGCCUGUAAUCCCAGCAAUUUGGGAGGCCGAGGUGGGCAGAUCACCUGAGGUCAGGCGUUCAAGACCAGCCUGGCCAACACUGCGAAACCCCAUCUCUACUAAAAAAUACAAAAAUUAGUCCGGUCCUGAUGCCUCACGCCUGUAACCCCAGCACUUUGGGAGGCCGAGGUGGGAGGAUCACCUGAGGUCAGGAGUUCGAAACCAGCCUGACCAACAUGGUGAAACCCCAUCUCUACUAAAAAUACAAAAAUUAGUUGGGUGUCGUGGUGCAUGCCUGUAAUCCUAGCUCCAGGGAGACUGAGGCAGGAGAAUUGCUUGAACCCGGGAGGCGGAGGUUGCAGUGAGCCGAGAUCACUGCACUCCAGCCUGGGCAACAGAGCGAGACUCUGUCUCAAAUAAAUAAAUAUAUAUAUUGCAUAAAAAAUAAAAAGCUUGUCUACUCUGAAUCAUGAAUGAUGAUACUGCAGGAUGGGCAGCCCUCUGCAAAGGGUAGGGUGAGGUAAAACCAUCAUCACCAAAGACCAAGAGAGGGUAAGCAAAUCCUCUGGGUGGGUAAGGGGACAGGGCUUGGUAUCAACUGUGGGCCGAGGAUGAGGACACCAGCCUUGGAGUCAGGCAGACCCCGAUUCAAAUUCUGCCUCUGCCGGCCGGGCACAGUGUCUCACACCUGUAAUCCCAGCACUUUGAGAGGCCAAGGUGGGUGGAUCACGAGGUCAGGAGAUCGAGACCAUCCUGGCUAACACGGUGAAACCCCGUCUCUAUUAAAAAUACAAAAAAUUAAAUUAGCUGGGCAUGGUGUCGGGUGCCUAUAGUCCCAGCUACCCGGGAGGCUGAGGCAGGAGAAUGGUGUGAACCUAGGAGGCAGAGCUUGCAGUGAGCUGAGAUUGUGCCACUGCACUCCAGCCUGGGUGACAGAGCAAGACUCGGUCUCAAAAAAAAAAAAAAAAGAAAAAAGAAAAAGAAAAAAAAAUUCUACCUCUGCCAUUUCCUAUGACGGGAACUUAAACGAGUCACUUAGUUCUCUGGGUAUCAGUUUCCUGAUGUGCAGCAUCGGGGCAAUAACAGAACUAAUUUUACAGGCUCUAUUUUUGUUGUUUUUUGUUUUUUGAGAUGGAGUCUUGCUCUCUUGCCCAGGCCAGAGUGCAGUGGCGCCAUCUCGGCUCACUGCAAGCUCCGCCUCCUGGGUUCAAGCGAUUCUUCUGCCUCAGCCUCCUGAGUAGCUGGGAUUACAGGCGCCUGCCGCCACCACGCCUGGCUAAUUUUUGUAUUUUUAGUAGAGACAGGGUUUCACCAUGUUGGCCAGGCUGGUCUCAAACUCCUGACCUGCAGUGAUCCACCCGCCUUGGCCUCCCAAGGUGCUGGGAUUACAGGUGUGAACCACUGUGCCUGGCCCACAGGCUCUAUUUUUGUGAUGAAUACGUGGAUGGUGCAGUUUUCUCUUGUGCCUGUCACAUCAUUGAAAGUCAAUGAAUAGGCCGGGCAAGGUGGAACACACCUGCAAUCCUGGCACUUUGGGAGGCUGAGGCAGGUGGACCUCCUCCUGAGGUCAGGAGUUCGAGACCAGCCUGACCAACAUAGCAAAACCCUGUCUCUACUAAAAAUACAAAAAUCAGCCAGGCAUGGUUGCGCAUGCCUGUAAUUCCAGCUGCUAGGGAGGCUGAGGCAGAAGAAUCGCUUGAACCUGGAAGGUGGAGGUUGCAGUGAGCCGUGGUCGUGCCACUGCACUUCAGCCUCCUGGGCGACAGAGCCAGACUCUGCCUCAACAACAACAACAGAAACUUCUUACCGAGGCCAACACGUCUCCAGGUGAACUGGCCCCGGCCUUCCUCUGUGAAAAUGACGCUCCCUCCUGUGUUCACAGAGCUCCAACCACACUGGAGCAAGUCAUCGUCUGCCCCGGGGACUUGGUCUGGGACUCCCCACCUAUGUCAGAUGACUGUCUUCAUCAAGUCUCACAACUUGCCUGUCAUAUCCCCAAAGAGGACUUCCCUGCCCCUCUGUUAGAAGUGGCCACACAGUUUUACUCUAUGACACCUCAACCCUCUUCACUGUCUACGUGACACUUAGCACUAUCUAAAACAUCAGUCACAUAUGUGAUUACUUCUUUACAGCCUGUCUACCCUCCUGGUUCUGAGGCUCCAGCACAGCAAAAGCCUUGUCUGUCCUGUUCACCCGUGAAUCUCCAGCACUCAACAUGGUGCCCUAAUAAAUACUGGCUGAAUAAACGAAUGAAGGAAUGAACAAAUGAGUGGCCCUGACUUUGACUUCUUUCGUGUCUUUCAAGCCAAUUAUCUGCUAAGAAGAGAAAGCAACAUGUCAUACACCAGGCUUCCCUAACCCUUGAGCUGCGGAGUGGAUGCCAGUCCAUGGCCUGCUAGGAACCCGGCUGUACAGCAAGAGGUGAGCAGGGUGGUGACCGAGCAUUACCGCCUGAGCUCUGCCUGUCACAUCAGCGGCAGCGUUAGAUUCUCAUAGGAGCUUCAACCCUAUUGGCGAACCGUGCAUGUGAGGGAUCUAGGUUGCGC
rnacentral:lncRNA from 10 species